GCUAAAUAUUUCCACAGGACCGAUAGCAAACAAGUACCGUGAGGGAAAGUUGAAAAGCACUCUGAAGAGAGAGUCAAAAGACCGUGAAACCGCUCAGGGUAUAAGCCCAUGGUGAUUUGGAAGGCGUAACACAUGUGAAGGAUGCUCAAUAUUUUUGUGUUAGUCCGUCUUGUGCACGCACUUGGGAGGUCAAGAGGCGUACAUCGUUCAUACCCUCUGCGGUCGGGGAGUUGAGUUGGGAGUUGCUGGUGGCGCGUGUCAAAGCGUGUCAUCUUCGGCUCUCGCUCUUCUUCUUUGAUCGACCGUCCAGGAGGUGGAGUUGCAAGACUGUGUUACCAGCCCACCACAACACGUUGUGAGGUCACCCACAGGCUCGACUGCCGAUUGCGCAUUCACUCUCGUUCAGGCUGCGGCAGAGUCGUUACCAGGCAAGGUUCGGCGAUGCAGCUCUGUUCGGGGUGGGUCGGGCGGCGACUGAGUUCUGGUAUGAUCCUCCUGCGACGAGUUGUUUUCUGACCAGAACGGCGCGCCACGGUUGCACAUCUCGUGCUUCCGUGUCUCCUGGGGACUGGUCCACUAUCCCUUAUAAGGCGGUUUGUGCCCUCUGCAUGAGUUAAAUCAGCAAGGUCUCCGUCGCGCAGCUGUUCUGUGUGGUGUAAAGUCCAAAGCCAUCGGUCACGUCUCGAAACACGGG
rnacentral:rRNA from 1 species